GUCGUUCCAAUUGAAGUGUUCCUCAAAUAUUGAUUCAAUACAUUACCUCAGGCUGACCAAUUCAUUUGAUCAAGUUCCUCGAGAUAUUCAUACACUUCCUGUGAAAGAGCCAAUUCCAAGUAUUUGAUCAUUUCUGGUCACUUCCUUUCUAUUUAUGAUUGGUUAGUUGCACAAACAACAAAGGUGAUUGGUGCAUUCAAACUAUUCAACAGGAAGUUUACAAUUAUACUAGGAAGUGUAUGAAUAUUUCGAGGAACUUGAUCAAAUGAAUUGGUCAGCCCGAGGUAAUGUAUUGAAUCAACAUUUGAGGAACACUUCAAUUGGAAUGACAGUAAAAAA
rnacentral:lncRNA from 1 species